GGUUGGAGACUUCCUUGAUACCGGCGCCACCCAGACGACAAUCAUAAACAAUUUUAAGUUUAUCUAAAGAGAACUUGUCAUGCGUAAACUUGAUAAACUUGACGUGUCCCUUCCUUCUAUUCGAGGAGCUAUGUAUGAUGAUCCAAUCGCUCAAACGUUCCUUCAUACUGAGAGAACAACUUUUCAUGUUUGAAAAAAAAUGAAGAUCACGAACGACGGCAUGUUCAACCUUACCCACCAAGGCGAGUACGGGACCUGAACGACGCCACAGACUUCCCGAAGAGAGCGUCGAGCGAAGAGGUCUUCUGCCCACGCCUGUUCUGCUGGUGAUAAUCGAAGAUGUGGCCAAAGAUGAUCAUUCUCCUACCGCUGUUUCUUGCCUCGGAUGUGACAGCAAAUACAGACUUAACAAUAGCAACAGCACCGCCGUCUUCAAGUGAGUUUUCAAAAAUUGUUGUUUUCUGACUUGUUCAGAAAGACAUUUUUUGUUUAUAUAUUAUACACACGUGAAGUUAUAAUGGUGGUCACACACAGGUAUACAAAGUUCACAAGGCUGCAAGUAAGUACAACACAGCAAAUUGACAGAUAAUAUACAAUAACGAAAUGAAAAUGAAGACAUGUAAAAAAAGAAAGAAAGAAUGAAAAAAGAAAUUAAGAUGAUAAGAGGGGCAAAGCUUUAAACGAAACAGUGUCGCUGUUUGAUUUAUUAUUUACUUAGGGAAUCUUAGAUGCCUGUUAAAGAUUAUUGCGUAAAAUACUUGAAUGGUAAUUUCCCCCUUUUCCUGGAAAAUAUGUUUAUUACGAUGCAUAUCUGUAAAGACGCAUGGCAAAAUAUUUCAAGAUUUCUUAAAAAAUAAUGAAAGAUGUUUUUGACGGAACACUUUGAUCAGAUAUGUUGAUUUAGUUUCAAACUGCCUCCAGAGGAAGCUUGUUCCAGUUUCAUCUCAGUAGUAAACUAAUUUGCUUAAUUUAUGGCAGUUGAUGAUAUUACGAUCAA